GAUCAUGGCUCAGGAUGAACGCUAGCUACAGGCUUAACACAUGCAAGUCGAGGGGCAGCAUUUUAGUUUGCUUGCAAACUGAAGAUGGCGACCGGCGCACGGGUGAGUAACACGUAUCCAACCUACCGAUAACUCGGGGAUAGCCUUUCGAAAGAAAGAUUAAUAUCCGAUGGUAUAUUAAAACCGCAUGGUUUUACUAUUAAAGAAUUUCGGUUAUCGAUGGGGAUGCGUUCCAUUAGUUUGUUGGCGGGGUAACGG
rnacentral:rRNA from 1 species